rnacentral:lncRNA from 1 species
CAGAGUAAAAUCGUUGAGCCUCGAGCAUUCCAUCCUCCCUUCAACAUUAUUAGAGAUAUAUGAUUAGUGACUAUAUAAGUCAAGAGAUGCACAUUUUAUAACUGAUUUUCUCAUUUGAGCAUUAUCCAAAAUAAUAUUGAGUUUCUCUUUUCUCUCUUUUCAUCUCUAUACCAUAUAUUCUAACAUGGUAUCAGAGCAAUACCAUUUUUUUCUCAUUGCCACUAUCGAUCAACCUCCCUGUUCACCGCCAUCGUCGUCCUCUAUCAUGAGUCACCGAUUCUGACCAACACCUACCUUUGUUCAAACCUUGUUCAUCUUCUCCUCAUACUUCCCUUUUCAAUUUUCUAUUACAUUUUCCUAAAAAAAUUCAAUACGCAAAACCCUAACAUUUUCCCAUUCCUUUUCUGACCAAUUUGGAUCGCAAUUCAUGAAACAACCAUCACCAAUCGAUUUAUCUCUAUGUACGCAACAAAAC